GACGAACGCUGGCGGCGUGCUUAACACAUGCAAGUCGAACGGAAAGGCCCUGCUUUUGUGGGGUGCUCGAGUGGCGAACGGGUGAGUAACACGUGAGUAACCUGCCCUUGACUUUGGGAUAACUUCAGGAAACUGGGGCUAAUACCGGAUAGGAGCUCCUGCUGCAUGGUGGGGGUUGGAAAGUUUCGGCGGUUGGGGAUGGACUCGCGGCUUAUCAGCUUGAUGGUGGGGUAGUGGCCUACCAAGGCUUUGACGGGUAGCCGGCCUGAGAGGGUGACCGGCCACAUUGGGACUGAGAUACGGCCCAGACUCCUACGGGAGGCAGCAGUGGGGAAUAUUGCACAAUGGGCGGAAGCCUGAUGCAGCAACGCCGCGUGCGGGAUGACGGCCUUCGGGUUGUAAACCGCUUUCGCCUGUGACGAAGCGUGAGUGACGGUAAUGGGUAAAGAAGCACCGGCUAACUACGUG
rnacentral:rRNA from 1 species